UGUAUUAAACUAGCAAUUGAGUCCACGGAAGUAUAAAAGAAAGAAGCAUUGUUGUAGUUAAUACCAAACAUAUAAGGAAAAUAAAAUGAUAGUUCUGUACCUUCUAAAUGACUUAUGAUCUCAGCUACAUUAGUAAAGGUUCCUUUCAAAGGAAAUCCGUCAUAUAACUCACUCAAAGUUAUUAUAACAUCGUGAUUGAUAGAAUCAAAAGCUUCUACAAAAUCCGGAACUUUGCUAGCGAAUUCAUCAAGGGUGAUAGUAUUCUUUUUGUUCCUAUUAGAGCACAAAACAUGGUAUAACCGUGACAGUGAUAAUUGUUGAAAAUCGGAAUUC